GUCGGGGUUUCGUACGUAGCAGAGCAGCU
rnacentral:piRNA from 8 species